rnacentral:lncRNA from 1 species
GAAACGGGUCGUCCACAUACCUCAUCCGGUAUGGGCGCCAAAACACAUAAGGUCUCCAUUUCCCGUCCGAUAUGAGAGACCACGUUUCCGGUAGGGUUCCCUACGGACCCGGUCCGUCCACCAUCUCCCAAGAUAUCUAGUUAGGCUAUCGACAUCAUCCACUUAUCAAUUCACAUACAUUUUUCUAUUUUUCUUGGUCUCAAUUAUCCAAUCAAACAUAAACACGUAAACCAGUAAUGAACACCAAAUAAGACAACAACGGGUUCACAAUAAUUCAAA